rnacentral:rRNA from 1 species
AGGGCAAGUCUGGUGCCCGCAGCCGCGGUAAUUCCAGCUCCAAUAGCGUAUAUUAAAAUUGUUGCAGUUAAAAAGCUCGUAGUUGAAUUUCGGGGUCAGCAGGUUGGUCGUGCCAAUGGUAUGCACUGGCCUUGCUGAUUCCUCCCUCUUGAUGAGCCGUAAUGCCAUUAAUUUGGUGUUGUGGGGAAUCAGGACUGUUACUUUGAAAAAAUUAGAGUGUUUAAAGCAGGCAAGCGCUUGAAUACAUUAGCAUGGAAUAAUGAAAUAGGACGUUCGAUCCUAUUUUGUUGGUUUCUAGGAUUGACGUAAUGAUUAAUAGGGAUAGUUGGGGGCAUUAGUAUUCAAUUGUCAGAGGUGAAAUUCUUGGAUUUAUUGAAGACUAACUACUGCGAAAGCAUUUGCCAAGGAUGUUUUCAUUAAUCAAGAACGAAAGUUAGGGGAUCGAAGACGAUCAGAUACCGUCGUAGUCUUAACCAUAAACUAUGCCGACUAGGGAUCGGAUGAUGUUAAUUUUUUAAUGACUCAUUCGGCGCCUUACGGGAA